AACAGGGAACGCAUAUGAGCUGUAAAACACAGAAUAUCUUGGUAGUAUAUCCAUUAAAUCCAUUUGACAUUUUGUUCAUUAAUCAAAAUCAAUUACAGCCAAUCUAACUUUUUAAAUUUAUAACAAUGAAUUUCAGAGCAAGAACAUGUCCAACAUACCCCACAACCCCAUGUGAUCAAUCAUGCACCUCCAUCAACUCCUAUAGAUUAAUUUAACACCUCUCCAUUUCACAAACAAAGAACUUGAUCUCUCUCUCUCUCCCUCUCUCUCUUUCUCUGUGUGUGUGCAAAUGGCAAGAAACUUAGUGUUCAUAUUGGCUUUGACAAGCCUCUGCAUUAGCCUAGUAGCAGCAGAUUGGAACAUUUUGAACCAAAAAAGAAGAAAUGGGUUCAAAUCAGAAUCAACAUCUGGCUUGAAGAAUUAUUGUGAGAGUUGGAGGAUCAAUGUUGAACUAAACAACAUUAGGGAAUUCAAAGUUGUGCCACAAGAAUGCAUUGCAUAUAUCAAACACUACAUGACUUCUUCCCAGUAUGAAGCUGACUCUGAAAGAGCCAUUGAAGAGGUUAAGCUUUACCUUAGCACUUGCUGUCAUUUACAAGGUGAUGGUAAAGAUGCUUGGAUCUUUGAUGUUGAUGAUACCCUUUUGUCUACUAUUCCUUACUACAAGAAACAUGGUUUUGGGGGAGAGAAGUUGAAUACAAGCUUAUUGGAAGAAUGGAUGAAAGAAAGCAAGGCACCAGCUUUAGAGCACACCCUCAAGCUCUUCCAUGUAAUCAAAGAUAAAGGAGUCAAGAUUUUCCUUGUCUCCUCAAGAUCUGAAACCUUGAGAUCUGCCACUGUAGAUAACCUUAUCAAUGUUGGUUAUCAUGGAUGGUCUAGUCUUAUUUUAAGAUAUAUAUAUAUCUGUGGAAACACAAAAGGGGUCUUGAAGAUGAAUUCACGAAUUUGCAAGAAUACAAAUCCAAGGCAAGAAAAAGAUUGAUGGAUGAAGGGUACCGCAUUUGGGGAAUCAUAGGAGAUCAGUGGAGCAGUAUUAAAGGUCUUCCCAGUGCAAAAAGAACAUUCAAGCUGCCAAAUUCCAUGUAUUACCUUUCCUAAGAAUCCCAAGUCCUCCAUCACCACCACCACCACCACCACCCCCACGAACAAAAUAAAGUCAUGCAUAAUUGGGAAGGAUAUUCACACUAUCUCAAAAAGAAGAAGCAUUCCUUAUCCAUUUCUGUUCAAGGCAUAGCAUCUGUUUAGCUUGUUGCUCAAUGUGCCAUAUUCCACUAUCUACUGAACCAAUAUUAUUAUUUAUUUAUUGAAUUUAGUUGGAACAUUUGAUCUUUCA